ensembl:misc_RNA 7SK 7SK RNA
AGAUGUGAGGGCCACCUGGCUGUGACAUCUAUCACUCUAUUGAUUUCCAGGGUUGACUGGCUGAUCUGACUGGCAAGGCUGGUGUCCCCCUCCUCCCGCACUGGUCCGUGUGUGUCCCUCCCAAGCCGUGUGCUCUGCGGAAGACAGUGACCACCCCUAUAGAGGAGGACCGUUUCCCUGAACAAGGAUGUAGGAGUAGCUACGCUCCCCUGCCAAAACCUCCCGGCAAGCUCUCAGUGUGGAUUUCACUCUUAGCUUGAGGAGCCACAGAAGGAUUUUAGGCCUGGAGCGACUUGAUCACUGCCUUAUGUAUGAGAAGAACCCCUCUAA